UGCAAGUCGAGCGAGAAGGGGCUUCGGCUCCGAGUAAAGCGGCGGACGGGUGCGUAACACGUGGAUAAUCUGCCUCGUGGCGGGGGACAACAGUCCGAAAGGACUGCUAAUACCGCAUGUCAGGUCGGAAACUCCGGUUUCUGACGAAAAAAGAGGGCGUCCGCAAGGAGCUCUCACCACGAGAUGAGUCCGCGUCCCAUCAGCUAGUUGGCGGUGUAAUGGACCACCAAGGCUUAGACGGGUAGCUGGUCUGAGAGGAUGACCAGCCACACUGGGACUGAGACACGGCCCAGACUCCUACGGGAGGCAGCAGUGGGGAAUAUUGGACAAUGGGCGAAAGCCUGAUCCAGCCAUGCCGCGUGAGUGAUGAAGGCCUUCGGGUCGUAAAGCUCUGUGGGGAGGGACGAAAAAGCGUGACCUAAUACGUCUCGCCUUGACGGUACCUCCUUAGCAAGCACCGGCUAACUCCGUGCCAGCAGCCGCGGUAAUACGGAGGGUGCAAACGUUGCUCGGAAUUAUUGGGCG
rnacentral:rRNA from 1 species